rnacentral:rRNA from 1 species
UACGUAGGGGGCAAGCGUUGUCCGGAUUUAUUGGGCGUAAAGAGCGUGUAGGCGGCUUGGUAGGUCCGCUGUGAAAACUCGAGGCUCAACCUCGAGAUGUCGGCGGAAACCAUUUGGCUAGAGUCCGGAAGAGGAGAGUGGAAUUCCUGGUGUAGCGGUGAAAUGCGCAGAUAUCAGGAAGAACACCAAUGGCGAAAGCAGCUCUCUGGGACGGUACUGACGCUGAGACGCGAAAGCGUGGGGAGCAAACAGG